GGUGGUUGAGGUUGAGGUUGGGAACAGGGUGGUUGAGGUUGGGAACAGGGUGGUUGAGGUUGGGAGGGAACGGGGUGGUUGAGGUUGGGAACGGGGUGGUUGAGGUUGGGAACCGGGUGGUUGAGGUUGGGAACGGGGUGGUUGAGGUUGGGAAUGGGGUGGUUGUCGUUGUGAACAGGGUGGUUGAGGUUGAGGUUGGGAACGGGGUGGUUGAGGUUGGGAACAGGGUGGUUGAGGUUGGGAACGGGAUGGUUGAGGUUGGGAGGGAACGGGGUGGUUGAGGUUGGGAACGGGGUGGUUGAGGUUGGGAACGGGGUGGUUGAGGUUGGGAACGGGGUGGUUGAGGUUGGGAACGGGGUGGUUGAGGUUGGGAACGGGGUGGUUGAGGUUGAGGUUGGGAACGGGGUGGUUGAGGUUGGGAACGGGGUGGUUGAGGUUGAGGUUGGGAACAGGGUGGUUGAGGUUGGGAACAGGGUGGUUGAGGUUGGG
ensembl:lncRNA